UACGCAGGUGGCAAGCGUUGUCCGGAAUUAUUGGGCGUAAAGCGCGCGCAGGCGGUCCUUUAAGUCUGAUGUGAAAGCCCUCGGCUCAACCGAGGAGGGUCAUUGGAAACUGGAGGACUUGAGUGCAGAAGAGGAAAGUGGAAUUCCAAGUGUAGCGGUGAAAUGCGUAGAGAUUUGGAGGAACACCAGUGGCGAAGGCGACUUUCUGGUCUGUAACCGACGCUGAGGCGCGAAAGCGUGGGGAGCAAACAGG
rnacentral:rRNA from 1 species